UGGCAAGGAGUUCAACCAGCUUUCCUUUCCUAGGUCCUGCGAGCCUUUUAGCUCUGUGCUAAGAUGACUGUGUGUUCGAUGCCAAGACACUGUGAACCCGAGAAAAGAGACACUUUAAUAUCUCUGAAAUCAGGAUGUGUUUUACCAUCAGUGGCAUCCUAGAUGAAAUGAACAAGAAGACUUUUCGUCAUCACCUUAUGGUAACACGGCAUAGAUUGUAUCAGACUCAUCUUUGGACUCCCGAAAUUCUCACUUGGGACCCCAAAUGUACACAUUUGAAGUCUUUGUCUUGUCACCUGACUGAUCAAACAGGGAUCCAUUGGUGAGUCUGACUUUUGAACCAGUGCUCUGAAUGUCCCUUGAAGCACACAGUUAGGACAGAUUUCUAUUCUUAACAUUUUGGGUAUACUUCAGAAGCUGGAGAUAGA
rnacentral:lncRNA from 1 species